rnacentral:rRNA from 1 species
UAAUACGUAGGGGGCAAGCGUUGUCCGGAUUUAUUGGGCGUAAAGAGCGUGUAGGCGGCUUCACAAGUCCGCUGUGAAAACUCGAGGCUCAACCUCGAGCUGUCGGUGGAAACUGUGAGGCUAGAGUCCGGAAGAGGAGAGUGGAAUUCCCGGUGUAGCGGUGAAAUGCGCAGAUAUCGG